rnacentral:tRNA from 1 species
GCCUGGGUGGCUCAGUGGUUGGGCACCUGCCUUCAGCUCAGGAUGUGAUCCCAGGUCCUGGGAUCGAGUCCCACAUUGGGCA